rnacentral:lncRNA from 1 species
AUUUUCACAGACCCUGCGACCGUCUCACACGAGCGUUUACCCAGAGCGGACCGGUCCCAGUCAUCGUCCCCGCCCCACAGCGCACCCGCGGCGCAGAGCGUCCAGGGAGACCCCCAGACUCCAAGCGCUCCCUCGAGCACUACCAGCCACCGCACGCGAGCACGCCCGGGCCCCGCCCACCCCGAAAGAUCGUGAGAUCCGGCCCUUGAGGCUGGGCUAUGCCUUUGCGCCUAGAGACUACGUUUCCCAGAAGAGACCGCGGCGACGGUCCGCUCGCGAGGCCGCCUCGGCGGUGCUUUGUGCGCCUGCGCCAUCUUCCGGCUCCAGGCGGCGGGUCCGCCGAUACCGAGGAGGAAACGCACCCCGGGCUGCGGAGAGCGCGGCCACGGUGGCACCUGAACCGGAGGAGGCGGCAGGUGAGGGGCUUUGGAGCUUGCCAGGCGCACCGGGGUCCCUGCGGGAGCGGGCGUCACGGCCGGGCGGAUCUCCGGCCUGGGAAGAACCGGAACGUCUCGCCCCAGCGCCGGUCUGCGGCUUUCCGGGCUCUGGACUACAUUUCCCAUCGGCCUCCGCGGCGCGCGCUCCGUGAGCGCCCCCUUCCCGCGUCCAGGCUCAUAGCCCCGGUCUAUGGACCCCUUAGCGCUGCCAUCUCAGGACUCUGCCCUUCCCCAAGAGAGGAACCAGGAGGAGGACCCAUCAGCCCAUGAAAUUCUAAAAGUCAUGUCCCUUGAGUCAGACUUGUUCAGGGAUGUGGCCAUAGUCUUCUCCCAAGAAGAAUGGGAACAGCUGACACCUGCUCAGAGGGAUUUGUACAGAGACGUGAUGUUGGAAACCUAUAGCAACCUGGUCUCACUGGGUAAGAC